CCUACGGGUGGCAGCAGUGGGGAAUAUUGGGCAAUGGGCGCAAGCCUGACCCAGCAACGCCGCGUGAAGGAAGAAGGCUUUCGGGUUGUAAACUUCUUUUAAGAGGGAAGAGCAGAAGACGGUACCUCUUGAAUAAGCCACGGCUAACUACGUGCCAGAAGCCCCGGUAAUACGUAGGUGGCAAGCGUUGUCCGGAUUUACUGGGUGUAAAGGGCGUGCAGCCGGGAAGACAGGUCAGAUGUGAAAUCCCGCGGCUAAACCGGUGAACUGCAUUUGAAACUGUUUUGCUUGAGUACCGGAGAGGUCAUCGGAAUGCGUGGUGUAGCGGUGAAAUGCGUAGAUAUGAGGAAGAACACCAGUGGCGAAGGCGGAUGACUGGACGGCAACUGACGGUGAGGCGCGAAAGCGUGGGGAGCAAACAGGAUUAGAUACCCGGGUAGUC
rnacentral:rRNA from 1 species